rnacentral:rRNA from 1 species
UACAGAGGGUGCGAGCGUUUAAUCGGAAUUACUGGGCGUAAAGCGCACGUAGGCGGCUUGGUAUGUCGGGUGUGAAAUCCCCGGGCUCAACCUGGGAACUGCAUCCGAAACUGCCUUGCUCGAGUAUGGGAGAGGGAAGUGGAAUUUCCGGUGUAGCGGUGAAAUGCGUAGAUAUCGGAAGGAACAUCAGUGGCGAAGGCGACUUCCUGGACCAAUACUGACGCUCAGGUGCGAAAGCGUGGGGAGCAAACAGGG